GUAGGACAUUUCGGAUGCAUCUGUAAUCCUAGCUACUUAGGAGGCUGAAGCACGAGGAUCACUUGAGCCCAGGAGUUCAGGGAUUGCCUGGGCAACACAGUAAGACCCAGUCUCAA
rnacentral:sRNA from 1 species